AUACUUACCUGGACGGGGUCAAUAAGUGAUCAAGAAGGCUUAUGGCCUAGGUUGGUGACCUCCAUUGCACAUAGGAGGGGUGCCCGUCUAAGGUCUCCCCAAGUGGGAGAGCCUACGUCAUAAUUUGUGGCAGUGGGGGCCUGCGUUCGCGCGGCCCCUGC